UUUACGUCAUUUAAAUCAGGUAAUGUGAGGCUUCCAGUACUAAAAAUCAUGUAAUUUUUGAUUCACUGAUCCUUGGAAGGGUUCUCCAGCUAUAUUUAAAAAAUCAUUAAAAUUCUUGCUUUAGAAGCUGAACUUCAGGAGCUUUUACAACAUAGGCGGUUGGACUAAAAAUAGUGUUCACCUCGAGCAUAUUAGCGAGUAUCACAGAUUCUAGUGCUCAAAAUUAGAUGAUUUUUAAUUAAUGGAUUCUCAAAAGCGUUCCUCAACUAUAUUUGAAAAAUGAUUGAAAUUCCUCCAAUAGGGGCUGAAAUAUGGAAGUUUUUAUCACAGGAGGUCCCGGACUAAACAUAAUCAUUAGCUUUAUGUACAUUAGUUUAUAUCCUGGCUUCUAUUCCUUCAAGACUUAUUCAACUACAUUUGAAAAACCUUAAAAUCUUUGCAACAGAAUUGAAGUUAUUGUUGAGCGAGAGCCUGGACUAAACAAAGUCAUUCACCUCUUAGAAUAGGUGGGCACUAGGAUAUUUAGUCAAAAUUAGUCUUUUAGUGCUAAAAAUCGUGUAAUUUUUGAUUAAGUGAUCCCAGGAAGGAUUCUCCAACUAUAUUUGAAAAAUCAUUGAAACUCGUGCCUUAAAAGCUGAGAUACAGGAGUUUUUGUGACAGGGACGCGUGGACUAAAUAUUAUAUUCACCUCAUGAAUAUUAGUGAGUACUAUGGGUUCUAGUGCUCAAAAUAAUGUGAUUUUUGAUUCCUGGAUUUUUAAAGACAUUCUUCACUUAUAUUAAAAAAGUUAAGGAAAUUCCUCCAUAAGCCAGUUUAAAUUUGACUUUUGACGUGAAUUUCAAAUUGAAAUAAAUAAAUGAAUUGGAGUGUUUAGUGUAUUACGCGUGUAAUAACUCGUGUGGCACCUCAUAAAUAUGGAUUUAAAAAUAAUAUCCAAAAGACAUUUAUAGCAUUUAAAUUUGUUUAAUCUAGAAUAUGUGAAUAGGCAGUUUCUUAUUUAUAAGUAUGUGUCCAGAAAAGUCAUAGAUAAAUACUUAAGUGCCCUAUUUAGUUGACAGAUGUAGGGCCCCGGCACUGGAUAAUAGUUGUUUGGGACCGAAGAGAGUUAGUUUUAAGUUGAGACUCGGAAAGUAAUUGUAUUAAGAUUGUGCGAACCAUUUUUGAGUUUUAAUUAAAACAGUUAAUUCAAUAA